UUCUCUUUAUUUCUCAAGCAAAAGGAAGCAAUUCAAGUAGUGUAAAGGUGUUAUUCAAAUUGUGUGUGUUUUUUCUUCUGAAGUUGAUAUGUUUUGCUACUCAAUUUUGUCAUAAGUUGUUGAAAUAUGAGUGAUUAUGUUGCAGUUUGUGUAGUAUGUUCUGAUGGUGAGUUGGUCAUGAUAGGUCUUGGCAUGCCUUCGCUCGCUUAUCCGAAAAUGCACUUAUCAAAACUUUGCCAGCAAUGAGCUUGUGAAAUUGUUUCCUCCUGAUCUUCCACUAGACUUACAGCAAGGUUUGCAGAUUGAUCAAUCCUGUAGUUGUAUCCCCCACUAUUGCUGCUGUUGGACUUUCAUUUUUCAGGUAUGGUUUUCCAAUAGUUGGUACAUGUCUUGAGAUUGGUGCAAUACAGAUAUUGAGAGGAAGAGGGUUUAGGACUGUGGAGUGUGUCACUGCUCAUUCUGGCUCUCCUGAAAGAAAGACUUGAAAUGAUUAAACAAUGAAUAUUUGUAAAGGAAUUCAGAAAUCGUUAUUGUUGUCCUUUGAUAUUAUUUUUGAGGUCAUUUUUUCAAUAAUUCAAAUACAGAGAGAGAAAAUACUUAUUAAUAAAUGAACAUUAUUAAGACUAAGAGACUUGUUUUUAUCCUAAUAAUAUAAAGGAGAAUUAGAGUCCUAGACAAAACUACCGUCAAAAAACUAAAAAGAAAACUAAAGGUGAAGGAUAAUAUAAUGGAAAUUUGGUGCACUAAUACUUGGCACUUAUUUUUUUCUUUUUAUUGUUUAUUAGUAGUAUUAUUUUUCGGCCUUUAGAACAUGGUGGAAGAUAUUGUAUAAUCCUAAAUAAACACGACAAUGCAAGAAAUUAGAAAGUAGAGAGAUUCGUUAAUUUUUAUUGCUAGUUGCUCUCAUCAUGAUAUGCUUUUCAUGAGAUUAACAUUUAUAAUUUGUUAAUUUUUUUCCUUUUGUGUCCACUAGUAUUAGCUUUUCCUAAUAAUCAAGUUACCAAUUUUAUUUGUUCACUGCUAUUAAUCAUUACUGUAUCUAUGAGUUCCUAAUUAAAUUAGAUAUUUCACUAGCCGACACUAUUUAUGAAUAAUAAUUUUUAUCAAACUCAAAGGGAAUAAGUUGAGGUUAGUAGGCAUUCACUUCACUAGUUAUCUACAAAAAUAAUGAGAAGAUUAACUAGCAGUCUUAGUAAGGAUAUUAUUUCUAAUAUUAUUUGUUAUCUGCCUCUGCGCUGAAAUCUUAACCACUUGUUCCAUAAAAUUGAUCAUCUUAUGUUACUUUUUGCAGGGAUCUUGAUAACUCUAAUCUAUCUGAAAAUUUGGUAUCUAAACUUGAAUGAUAAUGUUCUGUUAUAACUAAAUUUUGGGUUUUAUUUUGUCCUUCUCUGUGAGGUAAUGUAGGCCAUAAUUGCUUCUUCUUUUAACUAUCUUUCUCUUUUCUAAAAUUUAAAUGCCACAAGUAGUACAGAGGCAACAAUAAAUAUAUAUUGCUGCUGUAUAUAAGAUGCAAACUAAGCAAUUAGAGUUAGUAAACCAUAUUCAAUUCUUAAAAACAUUUAGUAAUAUUAUAUAGGAUAAACAAUUCUUAGAAAUUUUAUUAUAGUAGAUUGUAAUAGCAGUUUUAGGAUUGUACAAUGAAGUUGUAACACAGCUUGAUUCUUAUUUCUUUUUGCUUUUGAUGUUGCAGUCCAUGAAAGGAUACUUAGGACAUAUGAUGACUUUGUCUGGCCUGUUGAUACUUCAUUCAUUGGUUGCUUCAUUAUUGAUGUUGAAUUUCUUGACUUGAAGAUAUGCCCUCUGAAUGGCAACUGGAGAUGAUACUCGCAGUUUGUCCACCACAGUUUGCAAAUGGACAUAUCUUGGUCAUGCUCACAUGCAGCAUAUCAAUGAUAAAGACUCCUGGGAUAUGGCUAUGCUUUUUGGAUCAUAUGCUCAUUGAAGAAGUUCAGAGGCUGAGAGCUGAGGUAACUUUUGUUUCAAUGUUCUACAUGCUGCAUUUGUGAC